AUUGAACGCUGGCGGCAUGCUUUACACAUGCAAGUCGAACGGUAACAGGCCGCAAGGUGCUGACGAGUGGCGAACGGGUGAGUAAUGCAUCGGAACGUGCCCAGUCGUGGGGGAUAACGCAGCGAAAGCUGUGCUAAUACCGCAUACGAUCUAUGGAUGAAAGCGGGGGACCGUAAGGCCUCGCGCGAUUGGAGCGGCCGAUGUCAGAUUAGGGAGUUGGUGGGGUAAAGGCCUACCAAGCCGACGAUCUGUAGCUGGUCUGAGAGGACGACCAGCCACACUGGGACUGAGACACGGCCCAGACUCCUACGGGAGGCAGCAGUGGGGAAUUUUGGACGAUGGGCGCAAGCCUGAUCCAGCAAUGCCGCGUGCAGGAAGAAGGCCUUCGGGUUGUAAACUGCUUUUGUACGGAACGAAACGGUCUGGGUUAAUACCCUGGGCUAAUGACGGUACCGUAAGAAUAAGCACCGGCUAACUACGUGCCAGCCGCCGCCGUAACAC
rnacentral:rRNA from 1 species